rnacentral:rRNA from 1 species
CCAAAAACGGAUACUCCUUUAAAGACCUAUGUUAAUGUGCUACCUUUAUCCACUGCCAGGCAUCAUGGACUUUUCUGAUUUUUUCACCAGUUGAUAAACUUUAUAAUCUAAGCAAUUAGGAAUAUGCUACCAAUUAAAAUAACGACUAAUAAAGUGCCAGCAGUCGCGGUCAUACUUUAGUUAUAAAUAAAGCUAACCAGGACACAUGCAGGUAACUUAUCCUCCUAUAGUGAAAUAUGGAAUUUCACCUUCUAUACCUUAAACCUUGACAAACACUGACUACAAACAGGGAUUAGAUACCCCUUUAUGCAGUACUUAACUAAACUCCUGGGCACUACUAUUAACAAAUUGAAACCCAACUAACAUGGCGGUAGUUUAAAUCUUUUAGGGGAACUUACUAAGUAAAUGAUAACCACCAAGGAAAUUACCGUUGAGUAAUAUUUUACAUACCGUCGUCGUCAGACAUCCUUAAAUAGGCUGUCAAAUUACUCAUAAGGUAAAAAGACAGAUCAAGGUGUAGACAACCUCAACGUUUAAGCGAGUUACAAUAUUGAUUAUUUUCGUAAAAUAGUUUUAUCACUAUUUAACGCUGGACUUAAUAGUAAUACUUAUAAAGUAUACAGUAUGAAUAGUUUUAAACUGUGC